rnacentral:lncRNA from 1 species
UCAGAAACUUAAAGGAAAUAGGCAAGGAUAUGCGGCAAUUACUUAAAACACAAAAGGAAUGUGUUUUAAGUCAGAUUUUGGGAAAGAAACCCUCCCCCUUGCACGGCAAGGAAGAGGAAAGGAUGAGGGAGGUGCGGCUCAUGUUUUAAGAAAGGAAACAUGUCCUAAAACUAAAGGGAAAUAGGUUUACUUGUGCCGCAAGGGUUUGGGAAAGGUCUAAGUGACCUAAAACUGAUGGGAAAGAGG